CAUCGCCUUCCGAGUUCAUUGAAGUGUCAAGAUGAAAAGUGAUUAGACGUGCUGUCGGAGCCCAUCGCAACACUGCAAAAUAUCAGAUGUCUGCCCGUUUUCCCUCCUUCAAGGAACCAUUCUGUUUCCCCGGAUGAACCUGGAUUGCGUAAUAAAUAGUUAAUAGUUGCUAAUCAAUUGUGAUGCCAAUACGGUACAGUUCAGUUCUUGGAUUCUCGUGCAUCAUCACUGCGUCCACCCUCUUCGUCCCCUCCCGUCUGUCCACUUUCACACUACACUGCUUUGCUCUCCUUCGCAGCCUCUACACGGGGACAUUUUUAAUGGUCCCUGCGGUGCUGGUUUGGACAGGCGUUUAGUUAUGUGGCCGUGCUUGUGCUGCUUCGGUGCCUCUCCCUCCGUUCUUGUUAUUUCUCUUUUUAUCUCUUUUUCUCUGUCGUCUUCACUUUUUCAUUUAUUGGGGCUUUAAUUGCUAAGAAAUGCUUGGGGCGUUCCCUAAAGGCCCGAGUGUGUGACCUGUACGUCAUCUGGGACGACUCCGCUGCAAAGAGCCAGGAAUCUGCAAGUUCGGAGUCCCAGUCAUCGACUUUCAGCUCAAACAAAACGAAGGAGGAUUUUACGGUCGUUGAUGAAGUGUUUUGUGUCCUCGUUUCUGCUAAAACCACCAGGGGCUGACCAAAUGAAUUGCUGUAGCAUUCACAACACACAAGCGCGCAAGCCGCACAACGCCGACAGAUGAAACCGAUGAAAGGGGCUGAAUACGGUGGCGAAGAGAAGUGGUCCUUGAUGUCCCCCAGGUGUGUCACUGUGUGUGUGCAUCGACGUCUGGGCUGUGGGACAAAAUAAGACCCCCGGAACCAUCUCGGGAUGGUUUGUCCUUCUGUCCUUCCUACUCUCUUGAAGGGGAUUUUAAAUCCAAUCAAAUUAUACAUAUUUUUCUGGAUGGAUCCUUGAACAAUUUCCCAA
ensembl:lncRNA